AGAUGUUAUGGAAAAAUACGUGCGUUUCCAACGUGACAUUUCUGUCAACUUGUAAACACAACAAAUACGCAGAUUUUUCACGAAUAUUAAUGCAAUUUUCAACGUAAUAUGUAUAAAUUUAUAACAGUAUGUGAACUUCAAGCAAAACUUUAAGGGAUAAAUCAAUUAAUAGUUCGAUAAAAGGCUGAUUUAGUACAAAGGCAAGAAGCUGAUUGAAAACAACAUUUCCCUGAAAACCCGGAUUGCAUCAUGUAUGCAUGCGUAUGCAUGUAGAAGUUACAUAUGUAUUAAGAAUUAAGGCUCAAUACAAGGAGCGGUACAUAGACAUGUUGCUGUUUUUGUUGCUGGGUGCACAUAACACAUAGUAAGAAUAUUUACACAAGAAUUGCUACGUAUUUUAUUAAGCAUUAUUAUCUUAAAUAAAAUAAAACAUACAAAUGUU